rnacentral:rRNA from 1 species
UAGGGAAUCUUCCACAAUGGGCGCAAGCCUGAUGGAGCAACACCGCGUGAGUGAAGAAGGGUUUCGGCUCGUAAAGCUCUGUUGUUAAAGAAGAACACGUAUGAGAGUAACUGUUCAUACUUUGACGGUAUUUAACCAGAAAGUCACGGCUAACUACGUGCCUG